rnacentral:rRNA from 1 species
GACAGAGGAGCCAAGCGUUGUCCGGAUUGACUGGGCGUAAAGCGCACGCAGGCGGCUGUGCACGUGGGGUGUGAAAGCUGGCGGCUUAACUGCCAGACGCCACCUCAUACGGCACGGCUCGAGCCCGUGAGAGGUCCACGGAAUUGCCGGUGUAGUGGUGAAAUGCGUAGAGAUCGGGAAGAACAUCAGUGGCGAAGGCGGCCUGCUGGGCUGUUGCUGACGCUGAGGCGCGACAGCGUGGGGAGCAAACAGG